AUUGAACGCUGGCGGCGGGCCUAACACAUGCGAGUCGAGCGGAUGAAGGGAGCUUGCUCCUGGAUUCAGCGGCGGACGGGUGAGUAAUGCCUAGGAAUCUGCCUGGUAGUGGGGGAUAACGUCCGGAAACGGGCGCUAAUACCGCAUACGUCCUGAGGGAGAAAGUGGGGGAUCUUCGGACCUCACGCUAUCAGAUGAGCCUAGGUCGGAUUAGCUAGUUGGUGGGGUAAAGGCCUACCAAGGCGACGAUCCGUAACUGGUCUGAGGGGAUGAUCAGUCACACUGGAACUGAGACACGGUCCAGACUCCUACGGGAGGCAGCAGUGGGGAAUAUUGGACAAUGGGCGAAAGCCUGAUCCAGCCAUGCCGCGUGUGUGAAGAAGGUCUUCGGAUUGUAAAGCACUUUAAGUUGGGAGGAAGGGCAGUAAGUUAAUACCUUGCUGUUUUGACGUUACCAACAGAAUAAGCACCGGCUAACUUCGUG
rnacentral:rRNA from 1 species